CUACGGGAGCAGCAGUGAGGAAUAUUGCACAAUGGGGGGAACCCUGAUGCAGCAACGCCGCGUGGAGGAUGACGCAUUUCGGUGUGUAAACUCCUUUUAUAUGUCAAGAAAAUGACGGUAGCAUAUGAAUAAGCACCGGCUAACUCCGUGCCAGCAGCCGCGGUAAUACGGAGGGUGCAAGCGUUACUCGGAAUCACUGGGCGUAAAGGACGCGUAGGCGGGUUGGAAAGUCAGGUGGGACAAUCCUACAGCUUAACUGUAGAACUGCACUUGAAACUUCUAAGCUAGAGUAUGGGAGGGGGAGAUGGAAUUAGUGGUGUAGGGGUAAAAUCCGUAGAUAUCACUAGGAAUACCUAAAGCGAAGGCGAUCUCCUGGAACAUUACUGACGCUAAGGCGUGAAAGCUUGGGGAGCAAACAGGAUUAGAUACCCGCGUAGUC
rnacentral:rRNA from 1 species